AUACGGAGGGUGCAAGCGUUGUUCGGAAUCACUGGGCGUAAAGGGCGCGCAGGCGGUUUGGUAAGUCAGAUGUGAAAGCCCAUGGCUCAACCAUGGAAGUGCAUUUGAAACUGUCAGACUUGAGUACUAGAGGGGAAAGUGGAAUUCCCGGUGUAGAGGUGAAAUUCGUAGAUAUCGGGAGGAAUACCGGUGGCGAAGGCGACUUUCUGGCUAGAUACUGACGCUGAGGCGCGAAAGCGUGGGGAGCAAACAGGAUUAGAAACCCGAGUAGUCC
rnacentral:rRNA from 1 species